UUAGUUAUCUGAAAUAGGUUAAUGGAUGAUCAAAAAGACUUAUAUCCUAGGCUGGUGACCUCUAUUGUACUUUGGAGGCAUGCCCAUCUAAGGUGAGCUUAAGUUGUCGAGCCUACAUCAUAAUUAGUGAUAGUGAGAGCUUGCGUUCCCCUUUAUUUUAU
rnacentral:snRNA from 1 species